ensembl:snRNA U6 U6 spliceosomal RNA
GUGCUCACUUCGGCAGCACAUAUACAAAAACUAGAACGAUACGGAGAAGAUUAGCAUGGCCCCUAAGCAAGAAUGACAUGCAAAUUCGUGAAGUAUUUCAUAUUUUU